CAAGUUUGAUGUUGCUUUGUUAGUUCCCUUACUAGCCCCAGUUUUGUCAUUGCAACAUAUCCUUUUCCUCAUAUCUAGGCCUUUUAAAGAUAAUUUUGCCACAUUGAAAGAGAUAGGAUUUGCUGUCAAUACUCUCAAAAGAGCCGAACUGCAAAAUAUUUUAAGCAACAAUGGAAUUGGAAUUGGUAAUUUGAACGAGCUGCGUGAAUUUUGGGACAAAUUACAGAUCAGAGCUUUGAUUCAAGGCUUCAAACCUUCUUUGAUAU